rnacentral:rRNA from 2 species
GUGGCGUGGGGCGUGCUAUAAUGCAGUCGACGAACUCUGGUAUUGAUUGGUGCUUGCAUCAUGAUUUACAUUUGAGUGAGUGGCGAACUGGUGAGUAACACGUGGGAAACCUGCCCAGAAGCGGGGGAUAACACCUGGAAACAGAUGCUAAUACCGCAUAACAACUUGGACCGCAUGGUCCGAGUUUGAAAGAUGGCUUCGGCUAUCACUUUUGGAUGGUCCCGCGGCGUAUUAGCUAGAUGGUGGGGUAACGGCUCACCAUGGCAAUGAUACGUAGCCGACCUGAGAGGGUAAUCGGCCACAUUGGGACUGAGACACGGCCCAAACUCCUACGGGAGGCAGCAGUAGGGAAUCUUCCACAAUGGACGAAAGUCUGAUGGAGCAACGCCGCGUGAGUGAAGAAGGGUUUCGGCUCGUAAAACUCUGUUGUUAAAGAAGAACAUAUCUGAGAGUAACUGUUCAGGUAUUGACGGUAUUUAACCAGAAAGCCACGGCUAACUACGUGCCAGCAGCCGCGGUAAUACGUAGGUGGCAAGCGUUGUCCGGAUUUAUUGGGCGUAAAGCGAGCGCAGGCGGUUUUUUAAGUCUGAUGUGAAAGCCUUCGGCUCAACCGAAGAAGUGCAUCGGAAACUGGGAAACUUGAGUGCAGAAGAGGACAGUGGAACUCCAUGUGUAGCGGUGAAAUGCGUAGAUAUAUGGAAGAACACCAGUGGCGAAGGCGGCUGUCUGGUCUGUAACUGACGCUGAGGCUCGAAAGUAUGGGUAGCAAACAGGAUUAGAUACCCUGGUAGUCCAUACCGUAAACGAUGAAUGCUAAGUGUUGGAGUGUUGGAGGGUUUCCGCCCUUCAGUGCUGCAGCUAACGCAUUAAGCAUUCCGCCUGGGGAGUACGGCCGCAAGGCUGAAACUCAAAGGAAUUGACGGGGGCCCGCACAAGCGGUGGAGCAUGUGGUUUAAUUCGAAGCUACGCGAAGAACCUUACCAGGUCUUGACAUACUAUGCAAAUCUAAGAGAUUAGACGUUCCCUUCGGGGACAUGGAUACAGGUGGUGCAUGGUUGUCGUCAGCUCGUGUCGUGAGAUGUUGGGUUAAGUCCCGCAACGAGCGCAACCCUUAUUAUCAGUUGCCAGCAUUAAGUUGGGCACUCUGGUGAGACUGCCGGUGACAAACCGGAGGAAGGUGGGGAUGACGUCAAAUCAUCAUGCCCCUUAUGACCUGGGCUACACACGUGCUACAAUGGAUGGUACAACGAGUUGCGAACUCGCGAGAGUAAGCUAAUCUCUUAAAGCCAUUCUCAGUUCGGAUUGUAGGCUGCAACUCGCCUACAUGAAGUCGGAAUCGCUAGUAAUCGCGGAUCAGCAUGCCGCGGUGAAUACGUUCCCGGGCCUUGUACACACCGCCCGUCACACCAUGAGAGUUUGUAACACCCAAAGUCGGUGGGGUAACCUUUUAGGAACCAGCCGCCUAAGGUGGGACAGAUGAUUAGGGUGAAGUCGUAACAAGAGCUUGCCAC